CUUUUAUACUCAAACGAUAUCUCAAGCUUUGAACAUCUGAAAGAGCCGUGCUUCAACCAUCGAGAAAUGCAAGGCGUAUAUAGCAUAACUACAGACCAACCAAAACAUAGUUGUCUACUUAAACUGGGAACAUGAAAUAAAAUGCUAUCAAAACCAACUGUGUUAAAGCUGCCAACAGUAAAACAUGGUAGUGGCACCAUCAUGCUGUGGUUUUCUUCAGCAGGGAAAGGGAAGCUGGCCAGAGUUUCUAGAUUGUAGCAGCGUGUUAGAGUAGAUCUGUUACAUUACUUCUGAUUUAUUCUUUUUGUAGAUUUCUGUUCAUAAUUCUUUGAGUUGAGGCAUUGGAUGUUUGGACAAUUAUCCCUUCUCAAUUUUAAUGUUCUGCCACUUUAAGUACUUUUGCUCUUACUAAUUAAAUGUUUUCGCCUUUAUUUAUUCAGGGUGUCCAGUUGAGAUCCAUGUGAGAUCUACUCUAUAGUUGCAAAUGUUCCCAGGUCCCGUGGCUGCAAAUAAAAGCCCAAAUUAUUAAUCCUCCCCCACUGCUCUUCUGUAUGGUUGGGGAAACCUGCUCUUCUGAAAACUUUAUUCAUUGUUUAUGACUCACCGUUAGAUGCUCUGACAAAUGUCAGAUAAAACUACCAAUCCACUGGAACCCUCCUGCAGCUGUUCAACACAUACCAACCCUUUACAAAUCAUGUCAUUUCCAAAUUAAAUUAAGAUCUAAUCAUUAUACUGCUGCAGCUAAACUAUUUUCUGUUGUUGAGAUUAAAUUCAACAUUGUUCUUGGCUUUAGCUCCCACCUAGCUAGUUCAUAAACUUACUGCAUAGGUAAGUAAAAAAAAAAACCAAACACUUUUGCACCUAUAAACAGACACACACUGACACAGAGCCCUUUCUUUACACACUCAUCUGCAGCAACACACACCUCUGCAGUGGGAAUGGCUCUUGGCCACAGGCAGUUUGCACAUUAAGCUAACCUUGAUCAAUAACCUGCUAUGGACCUCGGCAAAAUCCACUGUUUUCCCAACUGCUGGUUUUCGAUAUCACGGCUGUUUGAACGCCUUAGCCACGGGCCAGCUGCGUGUGCAAAUGUGUGUGUGUAUUCAGUGUGUACUUGUGCGUUUGCGUGUGUGUGUGUGUGUGUACAUGCAUGUGCAGCUGCUGCAUGAUUUAACAAGAGCCUGUGAGCAUGUGCAGAUGUGUAUGUGUGCACUUUACACAUCUUUGUGCAUGAUUUCCAGCGUAUCUGCACGUUGGUGUUUUCUUGCGUGUACAUGUGUGUUUGACUGAAGCCUCGGGGUCCGCUGUGAACGGUGCUAACUGGCCCUCUGAACUCUUCCCUGUGAAGAGAAAGAAAAAGCCACUGGGCAUGUACAGACGACAGCGUGCCAUUUACCUGGGCUACGCAUGGUUUUUAAAACUGGCAAGAGGGACUUCCGUGCACACACAGGCGCACGCACACACAUACAGUCGGGAGGGAUACUCUUGCCUUUUGCCUCUAACGCAAAAGCACACCUUUGCUCCCUCGCCUCAAACACAAACACACUUCAAAAGUUUUUUCUUUCAUUUUUUUCCCUUUUUUUAUUUUUGGAAGCGAUGCAGCCAGUGCUACCCCUGCGUUUAAAGAGCCUAAGCACUCUCUUCAUGUGCCCUUUUCUUGCUUCCUGCCUCUGCAAAAAGGCCCCAGUGCGGCAGCAAAACUUACUAGUUUACAUCCAGCUGUACAACUGGCAAGCCAACCUUUUGGCUUUCCAAGGUGUUCAUCUCACAGUGCUCUUUAUAUGCAGUAAAGAGGGGCAGUGCAAUCGGCCCUUGCUGCUGCUUCUUCUUCUUCUUCUGCAGCUUGGCACUGAGAUGAGUAAAUGGAGGAAGAAACAAGCAGUGGUAGUUUUUGGCUGUGGAGGGGCAGAUAAUUGUUGAACAGAAGAGAAGUUUAUCAGAUAACUACAGCAACGUGUCAGAGGUUUGCUGCUUUCUCCGGUAACAAGCGUUCGACUGAUUUCAACAUUCGCUGAGCCGAGGAAGGAGAAAACAGUCCGGCUCUCUUGAUUGUGUAUGUGUGGGUUCAUUUGUCUUAAUGCACCUGGCUGGAUUUGUGUGUGUGUCUGUAAAUUGGUGGUUGAAUACAGCUGACCCAGAUGUGUAAAGUGGGUCAUGGGAACAACGCCGCCCACACAGUGGAGGUUAUGUGUUGUACUGUGUGUAUGUGUGCAUGUAGAUGGGGUUAGGACACUGGGGCAGUGCCCUGAUUAUGCUAAGAUUAGUUUUGGGAAUUCAUUUCCCCUCCAUCUGAGCUUUACCACCCCACCCCUGCCCCACCCCCAUUUCUAUCCCUUUCUCAUCAUUUAAAGAAUUGCUAGUUUCACUUUUUUUCUAUUCUAUUGUAAUAAUUCAAUCUUUAAAAUAGCUUAUUUAUCACUUUUGACUCAACACAUAUUUAUUUGGCUCUAUAGAAAACCUUUAAUUUUUAGAUGGUGCUUCACAUGGGAAUAAGGGAGAUUCAACCCCAUAAAUAGAAUUUGAAUCCUCCCAAAAUAGGUAAGAAUUACAGAUCGAUUGGUAUAAAACAACAUAAUUCAUGUUUCAGUGUAUUCAUACAUUUGCAUUAGGUUUAUUAAUUUCUUUGAAGGUCGUUUAAAUGUCAGGCUGUUUUACCCAUUUUCAGAGCAUUGCUCAUCAGUGUAUUAUUUUCACAUAACCUGUUUAAACCACUUAACUCUUGGUGGCUGUUAAAGAGCUAUUGGACGAAAACCUUGACGUGUUUCGAGUUUGGUGAGCAGAUUUUCCUUCUAAAGGUUUUUGGAAGACUAAACAAGUGAAGGACAAAAUCAUUGUAAAAAAACUAAAGAUAAAGUGGAUGAAAAAUGUCUGAAUUUUGUGUUUGUAGAAAUUAACAUCUCCAAAUAAAAGAAUAAGAUACCUCCAAAGUAUUGUGUACUAAAUGCCAAGUUUUCAUCCAAUAGUUUUUUUUUUUAGGAAUCAUCUCAAACUGGUUUGUUGAACAUGACGGCUUUACAUUUGUAGCCAAAUCUCUGAAAUUUUCACUUCCCAGUCAGUCUUGACUAGGAAGUGAGAACAUUCAGACUUUCCUAUUUGGAAAGUCUGAAUGUUUCUAAGACCGAUUUCAAGUUUCAAUAUGGCUGCUACUUGCAUCAACAUUUAUAAGCUGUGGUGAAAACACACUUAUUUUACAAGACACUCUUGUAAGACUGUCUAAAAUCAAAGUUACAUGUAGCACCUGCAAGUCUAAACUAAACAAAUUAAAAGUGGUGUGGAGACGGAUUAAUAUGACGUCCAUACGAUGUGGUGACGGUUAUAAUGGAGAUUCCAUUCAUACGCCCUCAAUCUUGUUUUGUACAUCUUGCUUUACAGAUCUAAAUAUGCAGGGAGUUUCUAGAACAUGUUUCCUCUUUCAGUAUUUUUUAUUUGUAUAUGAAAACCUUUUUUGUCCCCUCAACAGGUUAUGUUUGUGCAAAAAUCAAAUAAUAAAAACAGUCUUUUCACAUUUCCCCAUAACAAGGUAAUCACCAGGAAAAACCCCAAAGGCCAUCUAAGCAAGUUUCUCUAAAGAAAGUUUUUACAAGCAUGAUAGAAUAAAGACCAACGGGAACAAAUGCAGCAGCUAUUAGAGCUUCACGUGCUCAAGGUUUUUCCCCAUUUUUGUCUUCUUUCACAAUAGACAAAAUACUUCAGUUGUAAGACACGAACGACGCAGAGCAGCUCGCUGAAUAAAGACACCAAAAAUCUAAAGAGUAAAGCGAGCCAGUGAUUGGCGCCACAUAUCACAGAUCUUGACAUUACAUUCAGCAUGUAACAUUUGAGUGUCUCAUAACAGUGACCGACAGUAUUGUUGUUUCAUUUAUUUUUCAAAGUACUUAGAACCUAUAACGGAUAAACUAGUGAACAAUAGACAUUAAGACAAACAGGAAAACUGGAUUUAAUGUGGCUGCUUUCAAUAAAAAAUAAAAAUGAUCUGCAUCUUUUUGGACUCUUAAUGCAGAAAAGGCAUUGGCAGUGUUUCAAAUCACUUGAAGUUGGAGAAUUUGCAUCUUUCUUUUGUUCUCAUUUCAAUUAAACUUUGAGCUUUUCUGCUCACCUCAUAACUUCAUUUUUUUUUCUUCAUUAUUUCAAUUGUUCUCGUGAAUGUGUGGCUGGUAAUUGUUUGUUUUUUCCACUUGUUUUCUCGGGCUAUACGGUGUGGAGUUGUUUGCAAUAAAAGAUUUAAUCAGAUCAUCUUCAUUAUCCCUUGUAUUUGCUUUUUGCUUUUAGUCGACUUUGUUUUUUCUUUUUUAUCUUCAUUCAUGAAAUGUUUCAAUCUAUUUACUUCUAAUUAAUUAAAUUACAAAAAUAAGUACAUAAAUUGAUGGAACAAACAGGGUCUAUUAGGCUUAAAAUGAAUACAAUGAGGCUACAAGGCAAAAACAAAAAAAAAAGUACAGAACAGCUAACCUAUUUUUCUUAGCUGCCAGUAAGUCGAACAAUAGAAGGAAACAUAGGAAUGUUUUUCUUUCUUCUUUCAAGAAGCUAAAUAAAUAAAGAAACUCUUUUCGAACAAUUGUAUUCCUGACCUUGUUUUUUGCUGCCUUACUAAGGGUAGCAACGUAGUUUGAGCGGUAAACUGAGAGCUCAUCUCUCUUCACCACAACAGACCAGUGCAGCGCUCACAUCUCUGCAGUCACUGCACCAAUCUGUCUGUCAAUCUCCUGCUCCGUUUCUCCUUCAUUCAUGAACAAGUAGCCAAGAUACUUAAACUCCUCCACCAGGAAAACGACCUCGUCCCCAAUCCAAAGAGGGCACUCUACCCUUUUCCAUCUCAAGUCCAUGGCCUCAGAUUUGGAGAUGCAGAUCUUCGUCCCAUCAAGCGAGUUCUCAGCUUAUUAUUGGCCUAUAAACAAACGUGUGAGUGAAAAUGGGGCCCGGAGCCACGAGUUGGGAGGAGAGAUGGCAGCCAGGGUGGCACGCUGACUGGAGGAGCGCCAGCUGCUCUCAACCAGAAAGUACUUUCUGGAGGUCGGAUGGAACUCAGCAGAUCAUCAGAUUAUGGCAGCAAAUCCCUGCAUGUAAAGAGGACAGAAGACUCUAAUGGCUGGAGGACGUCGACAUGCUGCGUGUGUCUCCAAGGUGCUGCUGGUUCCUGAUCUGGUUCUAAUCAGGAGUGUUCCAGCUUUGCCCAGCUGAACCUACAGAUUUAAUAUGGAUCAGUGAGGGCUCACUGAAAGCGGAGCGCGGAGGAACACGACCACACUGCGGAGGAGGAACGGUCGACACUUACCCCUGUUAGCACUUAAAGAGAAAAUCAUCUUGUUACAGUUGUUAGGAUUCUGACCUUUGGCUCUGUAAUUUAACAAGUGUUUAACAGAGAAAUGGAAAAGCAAAGAGAAAUCAGUGUCAGGAGACAUUAUGUUGAUAAUCCUGCAUCCCUGUUUGCUCAUUUAUCCCUGGUAGAGAGUUUAUUUUGACCAUCAAACAUUCGAGGUAUCAGACAAUGUUUUUAAGGAACUUCUUGGAAUAUUAAAUUUACAAUCAAUGAUUAGAAAUACAAAUGAACGUCACUUUUAGCGCUGUAUCUCUAAAAAGCAUUGGAUUCUAAUAAAAACUCUUAAGUCUAAUAAUUUAAAGCUC